rnacentral:lncRNA from 1 species
CCUUAUUUUUAGUCCAGAUUUUUAGUAUUCGUAUUGUUAUCUUAGAAAGUCUUACUGAUUAAAAUACUACAAUAGGUAACAAUUUGACAAUUUAGUAGUGUCAACCCUGUGGUUAUGACCCGUGUAUAUAGCAUAUUAAUCCUGAAUACAACGUUUGGUGGUGCGCCUGUCAGAUGCGGAACGUACAGAUAAGGUAAUAGGUAACAGGUGAAUAUACUAUUGGUAUCGGUAGCGGACUCGACCCGGAACUUCUUAAUUAUUGGCAAUAUUAAUUACGUGGAAAACAAAAGAGCCUGGAGUGGUGUAAUUUUUAAUCUACACCUUUGUACUAUAUUAGUUAUAUAUAAAGUUGAAUUCUGUGAUUCGUCGUUUUUACGUGAUGACGGCUGACAAAUUGGACCUCGUAAUUUUAGUAUUAUAGAUACUGUU